AUUGAACGCUGGCGGCAUGCCUUACACAUGCAAGUCGAACGGCAGCACGGGAGCAAUCCUGGUGGCGAGUGGCGAACGGGUGAGUAAUAUAUCGGAACGUGCCCAGUCGUGGGGGAUAACGCAGCGAAAGCUGUGCUAAUACCGCAUACGAUCUAUGGAUGAAAGCGGGGGAUCGCAAGACCUCGCGCGAUUGGAGCGGCCGAUAUCAGAUUAGCUAGUUGGUGAGGUAAAGGCUCACCAAGGCGACGCUCUGUAGCUGGUCUGAGAGGACGAACAGCCACACGGGAACUGAGACACGGUCCAGACUCCUACGGGAGGCAGCAGUGGGGAAUUUUGGACAAUGGGCGCAAGCCUGAUCCAGCAAUGCCGCGUGCAGGAUGAAGGCCUUCGGGUUGUAAACUGCUUUUGUACGGAGCGAAACGGCCUACCCUAAUACGGUGGGCUAAUGACGGUACCGUAAGAAUAAGCACCGGCUAACUACGUGCCAGCAGCCGCCGCGG
rnacentral:rRNA from 1 species